rfam:Ixodes scapularis strain Wikel colony gcontig_1108378414970, whole genome shotgun sequence.
GCCAUCGGCCAUACCAUGCUGAAUACGCCGGUUCUCGUCCGAUCACCGAAGCUAAGCAGCAUCGG